CAAUGGUUUAAAAACCGGAUCGGUGACCCGGAUCGGGCUUUUCAAAAACCGAUCCGGAUCGGCGAAUCGGCGAUCCGGAUCGGAAUCGGGUGAAUCGGUCAGAAUAAAGCUUCAAAAAAAUCCGAAAAAAUUAUUAAAAUUCAUUAUAAAUAUUGGUUUUUAGGAAUUCAAUAAAAAAUGAAGGUACUCCAUUAAGAAUUUUCAUGUUUUUGAAUGAAUAUGCAAAUAUUGAUAUGUUCUUUCCCUGCAUGAACCGCCGUUCAGCAUUUAAUUUACAGUAUUUCGUGCUCAUCCCUACACUGUUGCUGUUGGGACUCGAUAUGUGAAUAAUAUGGUUGGGAU
rnacentral:lncRNA from 1 species